CCUACGGGUGGCAGCAGUCGAAAAUCAUUCACAAUGGGGGAAACCCUGAUGGUGCGACGCCGCGUGGGGGAAUGAAGGUCUUCGGAUUGUAAACCCCUGUCAUGUGGGAGCAAAUUAAAAAGAUAGUACCACAAGAGGAAGAGACGGCUAACUCUGUGCCAGCAGCCGCGGUAAUACAGAGGUCUCAAGCGUUGUUCGGAAUCACUGGGCGUAAAGCGUGCGUAGGCUGUUUCGUAAGUCGUGUGUGAAAGGCGCGGGCGCAACCCGCGGACGGCACAUGAUACUGCGAGACUAGAGUAAUGGAGGGGGAACCGGAAUUCUCGGUGUAGCAGUGAAAUGCGUAGAUAUCGAGAGGAACACUGGUGGCGAAGGCGGGUUCCUGGACAUUAACUGACGCUGAGGCACGAAGGCCAGGGGAGCGAAAGGGAUUAGAUACCCGAGUAGUC
rnacentral:rRNA from 1 species